GCUGAGAGACAGAGCCCCGCCCCCACCUGGCCGGUCUCGGGUCUGCAGCUCCUUCGGGGGACGUCGCUCAUCCCCGAGCGCCGGAGCUAAGGGUCAAGUCAUGGGGGACUCAGCAAAGUUUUCUGAUAAGAACAUGGCCCUUUUAGCACUGGGCUGUGAGCUUGAAGUGCUGGAGCUGAUCGAACACUUCACUACAGCCUAUGAGGAUGGAUUCCUGGAUUAAAUGAGAAGUUGGACUAAUAAUCUUUAACAUCUGUAGCGACUCUUAAACAUGAUUCCAAGCCUUUACUGACCAACAAGGUGGGAAACUAGUCAUCUUUGCGCUCAUACUGCUGCCCCAAAGACUCAGCGUCCGCAGAAAUUCCAUUGUCCUUAAGUUCCAGUCCAAGCCCUGCCGUUUCCAAGGCCUGUUUCACCCCGUUCAUGCGUCUCCUGUGUCCUUGUACUGAUGUGUGUGUGUGUAUCUUAACCAACCCUCUACCAGAGGGCAAACUCCUUGAGAACAGGCACUGUUUUAACUGAUCUCUGCUCCUUAGGAGCACUUUAUACAUAAAAUGUCCUCAAUAAACACAUGUACAACUGAAUUGAAUAGUUAAGAAAGGGUGAGACCAGCCAGAGCUAAAUUAGAGAAAAUAGUUUGCUCCUGCUUUCUUCCCAUUCCUUUUUUUAAAUUUAUUUUUAAUUGUGGUAAAAUAUACAUACAAUAAAAUUGACCAUCUUAACCAUUUUUAAGUGUACUGUCCAGUAGUGUUAAAUAUAUUCAUAUAUGCACCUAAUGUCAGAACUUUUCAUACCCACUAAGCAACCACCAUUCUUCCUUCCCCUAGCACCUGGCAACCACCAUUCUACUUUCUGUUUCUGUAAGCCUGACUAUUCUAGAUUCCUGGUAUAAGUGGAAUCAUACGGCAUUUGUCUUUUUGUGGCCGGCUUAGUUCACUUAGCAUAAUGUCCUCAAGG